UACGAAGGGGGCUAGCGUUGCUCGGAAUCACUGGGCGUAAAGCGCACGUAGGCGGCUUUUUAAGUCAGGGGUGAAAUCCUGGAGCUCAACUCCAGAACUGCCUUUGAUACUGGCGAUCUUGAGUCCGGGAGAGGUGAGUGGAACUGCGAGUGUAGAGGUGAAAUUCGUAGAUAUUCGCAAGAACACCAGUGGCGAAGGCGGCUCACUGGCCCGGUACUGACGCUGAGGCACGAAAGCGUGGGGAGCAAACAGG
rnacentral:rRNA from 1 species